GGAGCGACGCUCAGAAAAAGACGAAAAGUAGGUUCUAAAGAGAUUACCUCCAUAAGAACCUCUUGUACUGCGAAGAUUGUUUAUUAAUAAUAUAAAGAGAAAGUAGAAGCCGAGCCUUCGGGCUAGGGUUUGACUGACAGUCCUAUAGCUCAGUUGGUUAGAGCGCUACACUGAUAAUGUAGAGGUCGGCAGUUCAACUCUGCCUGGGACUACGACAUAGUCUUGGUGAGAGACACAGAGGAUUCUUAAUUACUAAUUCUAAUUACUAAUUACCAAUCACUGACCGCCUUCACUAACCACUAUCUCGGGGGAUUAGCUCAGCUGGCUAGAGCACCUGCGUUGCACGCAGGGGGUCAACGGUUCGAAUCCGUUAUUCUCCACUCUUGAGAGUCCAAUUGAUUGGAAUAUUCUCAAACGACCUUUGACAUGAUGUAACAGAAAAAAGUAAAGUUAAAGCUGAAAGUAUAUAUUGACCAUACGUUGUCGGUAA
rnacentral:tRNA from 1 species